rnacentral:rRNA from 1 species
ACGAACGCUGGCGGCGUGCUUAAUCCAUGCAAGUCGAACGGAAAGGCCCUGCUUUUGUGGGGUGCUCGAGUGGCGAACGGGUGAGUAACACGUGAGUAACCUGCCCUUGACUUUGGGAUAACUUCAGGAAACUGGGGCUAAUACCGGAUAGGAGCUCCUGCUGCAUGGUGGGGGUUGGAAAGUUUCGGCGGUUGGGGAUGGACUCGCGGCUUAUCAGCUUGUUGGUGGGGUAGUGGCUUACCAAGGCUUUGACGGGUAGCCGGCCUGAGAGGGUGACCGGCCACAUUGGGACUGAGAUACGGCCCAGACUCCUACGGGAGGCAGCAGUGGGGAAUAUUGCACAAUGGGCGGAAGCCUGAUGCAGCAACGCCGCGUGCGGGAUGACGGCCUUCGGGUUGUAAACCGCUUUCGCCUGUGACGAAGCGUGAGUGACGGUAAUGGGUAAAGAAGCACCGGCUAACUACGUG